GAUGUGUUUGCUAGUGUCUAGAUAUAGCUAGGUUAGACAGACUAUGAUAAACUUUUAUUUUAUAUUUAUCAUUUAUAUUUUAGUAACGAUGUGUUUGCUAGUGUCUAGAUAUAGCAAGGGUAGACUGUCUAUUAUUAACUUUUAUUUUAUAUUUAUCAUUUAAAUUUAAGUAACGAUUUGUUUGCUAGUGUCUAGAUAUAGCUAGGUUUGACUGUCUGUGAUAAACUUUUAUUUUAUAUUUAUCAUCAAUAUUUAGUAACGAUGUGCUUGCUAGUGUCUAGAUAUAGGUAGGUUAGACAGUCUAUGAUAAACUUUUAUUUUAUAUUUAAAAUUUAUAUUUUAGUAACGAUGUGUUUGCUAGUGUCUAGAUAUAGCUAGGGUAGACUGUCUAUGAUAAACUUUUAUUUUAUAUUUAUCAUUUAAAUUUAAGUAACGAUGUGUUUCCUAGUGUCUAGAUAUAGCUAGGUUUGACUGUCUGUGAUAGACUUUUAUUUUAUAUUUAUCAUCAAUAUUUAGUAACGAUGUGUUUGCUAGAGCCGACGCUUCCAAUGUUCUUACUUACAAUAUCAGCAUGUUGAGUACAGAUCUACAUAGUUCACAGGUUAAGCGAAAGAUAACAAAAAAUGAACUGUGCUAUAAAUAAUGGUAAAGAUCAUCCAUCUGAAUAUUUUGAAGCACUUUAUGAUAUUAUGGCAAAGAAUGAAAUCAAGGUGAAACAUACUCCCAAUCAAAGUGAACUGUAAAUAUGACGCUGUGUGUAUCUUUUUGAAUUGUAGUUUACAAUGCCGCUGCGUGAGUCUUGGCAAAGUUGGUGUAUUGAGCCCGCAAUCAAAGAAAAUGCCCUUGGCCGAUCAUUAGAUUGGAGUUGGGAUGAGGUAGUGGUCUCUUACGUUAUGUUGUUUUCCGCUAACUUUGUAUCCACAAAUAA